CUUGAAGAUGCAGGUCAUGCAGAGCUUUGCUGAAUGAAAACACGUCAGUACGACAGGAGCAUGUUGUUGAAAUGAUUUCAAUAUAUAUGAUUGACAUAUAUCCAUAGGACAUGCAGUUAGCCUAGACAAUUCUCUGUGAAGUUCAAGGACUUUCUUAGUCAAAUAUGGGAAGAUGUGAAAGGAUACAUAGAAAUCUUGGAGGACAAAUUGACGAGAGUCUUAAAAGACACAGAUAUGAAGAUAAACAAGAGGAAAAGAAUGCCAAACAUAGUUCAUUUUGUAGUUUAAAGGACUGCAGACUUUCUGAUAUCUUUCAAACUGUUGUGUUUUUUGGUAUAAAUGUAAUAAUGCAUUAUCAUCUUAUUUGUAUAGGCAUAAUUUGUAUAAUUUGGAGUUUAGUAUGACGUCCAUUAUCACUGAACUAGUAUACAUAUUUGUUUAGGGGCCAGCUGAAGGACGCCUGCAGGUGCGGGAGUUUCUCGCUGCAUUGAAGACCCAUUGGUGGCCUUCGGCUGUUGUCUGCUCUAUGGUGGAGUUGUUGUCUCUUUGACACAUUCCCCAUUUCCAUUCUCUAUUUUAUACAUCCUGAAAAUCUUGUUGGUACCUUUUAU